GGGUUGUGAGGUUAAGCGACUAAGCGUACACGGUGGAUGCCCUGGCAGUCAGAGGCGAUGAAGGACGUGCUAAUCUGCGAUAAGCGUCGGUAAGGUGAUAUGAACCGUUAUAACCGGCGAUUUCCGAAUGGGGAAACCCAGUGUGUUUCGACACACUAUCAUUAACUGAAUCCAUAGGUUAAUGAGGCGAACCGGGGGAACUGAAACAUCUAAGUACCCCGAGGAAAAGAAAUCAACCGAGAUUCCCCCAGUAGCGGCGAGCGAACGGGGAGCAGCCCAGAGCCUGAAUCAGURUGUGUGUUAGUGGAAGCGUCUGGAAAGGCGCGCGAUACAGGGUGACAGCCCCGUACACAAAAAUGCACAURYUGUGAGCUCGAUGAGUAGGGCGGGACACGUGGUAUCCUGUCUGAAUAUGGGGGGACCAUCCUCCAAGGCUAAAUACUCCUGACUGACCGAUAGUGAACCAGUACCGUGAGGGAAAGGCGAAAAGAACCCCGGCGAGGGGAGUGAAAAAGAACCUGAAACCGUGUACGUACAAGCAGUGGGAGCACGCUUAGGCGUGUGACUGCGUACCUUUUGUAUAAUGGGUCAGCGACUUAUAUUCUGUAGCAAGGUUAACCGAAUAGGGGAGCCGAAGGGAAACCGAGUCUUAACUGGGCGUUAAGUUGCAGGGUAUAGACCCGAAACCCGGUGAUCUAGCCAUGGGCAGGUUGAAGGUUGGGUAACACUAACUGGAGGACCGAACCGACUAAUGUUGAAAAAUUAGCGGAUGACUUGUGGCUGGGGGUGAAAGGCCAAUCAAACCGGGAGAUAGCUGGUUCUCCCCGAAAGCUAUUUAGGUAGCGCCUCGUGAAUUCAUCUCCGGGGGUAGAGCACUGUUUCGGCAAGGGGGUCAUCCCGACUUACCAACCCGAUGCAAACUGCGAAUACCGGAGAAUGUUAUCACGGGAGACACACGGCGGGUGCUAACGUCCGUCGUGAAGAGGGAAACAACCCAGACCGCCAGCUAAGGUCCCAAAGUCAUGGUUAAGUGGGAAACGAUGUGGGAAGGCCCAGACAGCCAGGAUGUUGGCUUAGAAGCAGCCAUCAUUUAAAGAAAGCGUAAUAGCUCACUGGUCGAGUCGGCCUGCGCGGAAGAUGUAACGGGGCUAAACCAUGCACCGAAGCUGCGGCAGCGACGCUKAUGCGUUGUUGGGUAGGGGAGCGUUCUGUAAGCCUGYGAAGGUGUGCUGUGAGGCAUGCUGGAGGUAUCAGAAGUGCGAAUGCUGACAUAAGUAACGAUAAAGCGGGUGAAAAGCCCGCUCGCCGGAAGACCAAGGGUUCCUGUCCAACGUUAAUCGGGGCAGGGUGAGUCGACCCCUAAGGCGAGGCCGAAAGGCGUAGUCGAUGGGAAACAGGUUAAUAUUCCUGUACUUGGUGUUACUGCGAAGGGGGGACGGAGAAGGCUAUGUUGGCCGGGCGACGGUUGUCCCGGUUUAAGCGUGUAGGCUGGUUUUCCAGGCAAAUCCGGAAAAUCAAGGCUGAGGCGUGAUGACGAGGCACUACGGUGCUGAAGCAACAAAUGCCCUGCUUCCAGGAAAAGCCUCUAAGCAUCAGGUAACAUCAAAUCGUACCCCAAACCGACACAGGUGGUCAGGUAGAGAAUACCAAGGCGCUUGAGAGAACUCGGGUGAAGGAACUAGGCAAAAUGGUGCCGUAACUUCGGGAGAAGGCACGCUGAUAUGUAGGUGAAGUCCCUCGCGGAUGGAGCUGAAAUCAGUCGAAGAUACCAGCUGGCUGCAACUGUUUAUUAAAAACACAGCACUGUGCAAACACGAAAGUGGACGUAUACGGUGUGACGCCUGCCCGGUGCCGGAAGGUUAAUUGAUGGGGUUAGCCGCAAGGCGAAGCUCUUGAUCGAAGCCCCGGUAAACGGCGGCCGUAACUAUAACGGUCCUAAGGUAGCGAAAUUCCUUGUCGGGUAAGUUCCGACCUGCACGAAUGGCGUAAUGAUGGCCAGGCUGUCUCCACCCGAGACUCAGUGAAAUUGAACUCGCUGUGAAGAUGCAGUGUACCCGCGGCAAGACGGAAAGACCCCGUGAACCUUUACUAUAGCUUGACACUGAACAUUGAGCCUUGAUGUGUAGGAUAGGUGGGAGGCUUDGAAGUGUGGACGCCAGUCUGCAUGGAGCCGACCUUGAAAUACCACCCUUUAAUGUUUGAUGUUCUAACGUUGACCCGUAAUCCGGGUUGCGGACAGUGUCUGGUGGGUAGUUUGACUGGGGCGGUCUCCUCCUAAAGAGUAACGGAGGAGCACGAAGGUUGGCUAAUCCUGGUCGGACAUCAGGAGGUUAGUGCAAUGGCAUAAGCCAGCUUGACUGCGAGCGUGACGGCGCGAGCAGGUGCGAAAGCAGGUCAUAGUGAUCCGGUGGUUCUGAAUGGAAGGGCCAUCGCUCAACGGAUAAAAGGUACUCCGGGGAUAACAGGCUGAUACCGCCCAAGAGUUCAUAUCGACGGCGGUGUUUGGCACCUCGAUGUCGGCUCAUCACAUCCUGGGGCUGAAGUAGGUCCCAAGGGUAUGGCUGUUCGCCAUUUAAAGUGGUACGCGAGCUGGGUUUAGAACGUCGUGAGACAGUUCGGUCCCUAUCUGCCGUGGGCGCUGGAGAACUGAGGGGGGCUGCUCCUAGUACGAGAGGACCGGAGUGGACGCAUCACUGGUGUUCGGGUUGUCAUGCCAAUGGCACUGCCCGGUAGCUAAAUGCGGAAGAGAUAAGUGCUGAAAGCAUCUAAGCACGAAACUUGCCCCGAGAUGAGUUCUCCCUGACUCCUUGAGAGUCCUGAAGGAACGUUGAAGACGACGACGUUGAUAGGCCGGGUGUGUAAGCGCAGCGAUGCGUUGAGCUAACCGGUACUAAUGAACCGUGAGGCUUAACCUUACAACGCCGAAG
rnacentral:rRNA from 1 species